GACGAACGCUGGCGGCGUGCCUAAUACAUGCAAGUAGAACGCUGAAGAGAGGAGCUUGCUCUUCUUGGAUGAGUUGCGAACGGGUGAGUAACGCGUAGGUAACCUGCCUUGUAGCGGGGGAUAACUAUUGGAAACGAUAGCUAAUACCGCAUAACAAUGGAUGACACAUGUCAUUUAUUUGAAAGGGGCAAUUGCUCCACUACAAGAUGGACCUGCGUUGUAUUAGCUAGUAGGUGAGGUAACGGCUCACCUAGGCGACGGUACAUAUCCGACCUGAGAGGGUGAGCGGCCACACUGGGACUGAGACACGGCCCACACUCCUACGGAAGGCAGCAGGAGGGAAUCGUCGGCAAUGGGGGCAAUCCUGACCGAGGAACGCCGAGUGAGGGAAGAAGGGUUUCGGAUCGUAAAGCUCUGUUGUAAGUCAAGGACGAGUGUGGGAGUGGAAAGUUCACACUGUGACGGUAGCUUACCAAAAAGGGACGGCUAACUACGUG
rnacentral:rRNA from 1 species